rnacentral:rRNA from 1 species
GUAGGUGGCAAGCGUUGUCCGGAAUUAUUGGGCGUAAAGCGCGCGCAGGCGGUUCUUUAAGUCUGAUGUGAAAGCCCACGGCUCAACCGCGGAGGGUCAUUGGAAACUGGAGAACUUGAGUACAGAAGAGGAAAGCGGAAUUCCACGUGUAGCGGUGAAAUGCGUAGAGAUGUGGAGGAACACCAGUGGCGAAGGCGGCUUUCUGGUCUGUAACUGACGCUGAGGCGCGAAAGCGUGGGGAGCAAACAGGGAUUAGAUACCCUGGUAGUCCACGCCGUAAACGAUGAGUGCUAAGUGUUAGGGGGUUUCCGCCCCCUUAGUGCUGCAGCUAACGCAUUAAGCACUCCGCCUGGGGAUACGGCCGCAAGGCUG